rnacentral:misc_RNA from 1 species
GUGAAUCAUCAAAUCUUUGAACGCAAAUUGCACUCGCCUCUGAGAGUAUGCCUGUGUGAGGGUCAGCCUAUAAAAAUCGACAUCGUUGCUGUUUCGCGGUGGCGUUCGUCGGAAAGUGGGUCAGCUUAAAUCCUUGUGAUGUAAGCGACUUAGAAUUUUCUUUUGGUUCCAUGAACGUUUCUAAGAUCUAUUUCUUUACACGAGUAAGGAAUCGAUUUUUAGUAGACGUGACCAUCAUAUCGGAUGGAGUACAUAAU